GAAAAUUGUCAACCACUCCUUCCUUAGGGGGUAAAAGCAACAUUCAGCACCGGGGGCAGGUCAAGGCAAGGCUGGCUCCCGUCUCCAGGCCCCAAGGAGCCACACCUGGACCAGACCCCAGGAAAGCCAAAGAUGGAGACUAUGGUACACUCUUCACAGCCAAGGGCAGGGGACAGAGGAGAGGCGGUGCCCAGGCAGGAUGCAACUAUCUCCAAGAGAUAGUUAGAGGAUGGCAGCCUAUCUUGAGUUCUGGCUGCUCUGCCCAGGAGGUCCCUUUGAAUGGCCAGAGAUGGUCUCCAAUGCUGUUGGCCUCCUGCAGAAGAAAGAGCCCAAGGCUGGGAAUGGAAACCCUUGGUUCUAUUCCUGGCUGUGCCCUAACUCUUCAUAUGACCUUCAACGCGACCUUGAACAUGCAGCUUCCUCUGGCCUCAGUGUGUCCAGCGAGAGGCUAGACCCGGCCAGGCCUGGUGGCUCACUCCUAUAAUCCCAGCACUUUGGGAGGCCAAGGCAGGCGGAUCAUGAGGCAAGGGCGCUAGCUGGUGGGAGCCACCCCGCCAUGCUGAUGUCAGAGAAGCAAGAACUCUGGAGAAGCAGCCUCCUGGGACCAGAGGAGGGCCAGCAGCAGGCAGCCCGGAGACAGAACUAAUGUGUCUGGGGGUGAGAGGACGGGUGUGACUGCUGAAACUUCCUUUCUUGGUGAUUCCACAUCACUCCUUUCUGAUCCCUGAGCCUGUGCCACGCCCUGUGUGAUGUGCCGGGGACACCAGGCUCACCCACGCCUCUCCAAGCCUCCCAACAGAAGACAGAGGUCCCCCACAGCCAGAGACAUUUCCUGAAGACAUGGGGAACACAGAGGCAGAAACAGCCCAUCCACCCAGGAGCUGUCCCCCACACUGCCGGGAGCCGGCACCCAGAGCCGCCAGGUAAAACUGAGGCCACCUGGUUCAACAUCACCUUUCACAGAAGGGGAAGCAGCCACAGAAAGAAGGGCCUCGUUAAGAAGUGGAACCUGGGACCCCCAAGCGGUGUCUCUCAUCCUGACUGGGGAUCCAGAGUAGGAGGGAGCCUUUGGUGGGACACAAAGGAACAGAACGAGGCACCAACAGCAAGGGGCAAGCAGAUUCAAGGGCCACAGAGGAGAUGGAGGCAAACACCUUCCCCUGGUCAGAGGCUGUGCCUCAGCCCUUCUCCCUGCAUCAGUUUCUCCUUCAGAAGCAUGGGACUACCUCCCAUCUAGUUCUCGUUUCUAAACCUAGGGGAGAUGCUAUCUUUGCUGCAAUAAUCUUAGCCUACAUCUUGGAAUGGAAAUGGCCUUGGUGGAAAUGGUCUUCAACUCCUCUGGUCCAAGCUCAGGCCCUGUGACCCUGGAACAAUCCCCUUCCUGGUCCUCCAUGUAGGAGCAAUAACAUUCCCUUGCCAGCAGCACCAGCCAUUCUGAUGAUUAAAUGGUAUCGGACUCUGUUUUCCAAACUCAGUCAUUCAGAUGCCCCCUAUUUUAUUUCUUCCAUGUCUGCAAAUGAUUAUAAUAUUUUUAAAUGUAGGAUGAGUCCUUUUUAUUACACAUAGAAAUAGCUACUGUAAAUAGCAAACUCUAACACUGUGCCUAAUUAGGAAAUAAAGGUAACCAUAAAUACAGUAAAAAUGAAACAAUGUUAUUAUGGUUUAACCUGAUAGUGUGGCUUGCAAGGCCCUGGGCCUGAAGCCUGGGCAAUAAGUGAGAGUUAGAAAGGUGUCAAAGACAUGAUAGCAGCAAACUGAGGCUUUGUACCCCACGGUAAAUAGGACUGAAAGCAAAUUCACAGGGAGCAACUGAUCCAUUCCACAACAGAAUGCUCCCUGUCAAUUCGCUUUCCAUUCUGUUGUGUCCUGUCUCCCAGCAGAGACUACAAACUCCCCAAAACCACUUACCCACCAGCUGCACGUGAGAAGCCAAAGGUAGUUUAUGUGAAAGGGCUUUGGAAAUAAUCACGCACCAAGUGAAGGCAGAGGACACACCUUGUCAGCUUAGUUCUCAGCAGCAAAUCAUCUCUUUUCCAGGAUAACCCUCCCUGAUUCUUAUUGAAAUCUCUUUGCUGACCACACUAAGCUCUUCUCUCUCAGGGGCAGUGGGAGCCGUGGAGAGUGGAAUAGACCAGCUGUCUGUGACCUGCGAGGGAGUCCAAUGUCGGAAUCACUCCCCAGCCAAAUGCACGGUUUUAAAAAAUCUAUUUAUUUAUUUAUGUAGAGACCAGGCUAUGAGACUGGCUAAUUUUUCGUAUUUUUGGAUAGAGACAGGAUUUCAUCGUGUUGCCCAGGCUGGUCUUGAACUCCUGGGCUCAAGCGAUCCACCUGCCUCGGCUUCCCAAAGUGCUCAGGAUUACAGGCGUGAGCCACUUCCCAGCUACUUGGGAGGCUGGGGCAUGAGAAUUGCUUUAACCCGGAAGGUGGAGUUUGCAGUGAGCCGAGAUCGUGUCACUGCACUCCAGCCUGGGCGACAGAGGGAGACUCUGUCUCAAAAAAAAAAAAAAGUCAAGGAGGGUUUCCCAGAGUGGCCACUUGAUUAGAGACCUAGCACAGGAGGAAGAGAUGGGCAGGGAGAGUGACGGGGAGCAGCACAGUCCCUGGGAGCCCGAAGUGGGUGGGCACAGGGCUCCCUAGGAGAAUGGAAGGACAUCUAUGAGCUGUAGCCCAAGAGGAAGAGGUCACUGGGGCUAGAUGCGGCAGACCCUCGCAGGCUUUGGGAAGGGCUUCAGAAUUCAGCCUGAGGGCAAUGGGGAGCCCUUUUGGGAUAUUAAACUUGAGUAAGAUAUGAGCAUAUUUGCAUCUUGAAAAAUCAUUAUGGGAAGAUGGCUGGGAAGAGAGGAGGAGUGGCAGAAGAAAGAUAGGUUGGAGACAAUUGAUUGCUCGAUGAUAUAAAAUGUUAAGUACCAUGAAUGAUGCUGUUAGGCUGGAAUGCGCCAAGCAUAAAGGUGGGGCAUGGCAUCAAAAGGUAGGUCAACAUAUUAAAUAAUUCCAUGUAUUGAAAUAUCCAGAAAAUAUAUAGACAGAUCUAUAGAGAUAGAAACUGGUCUGCCCAGGACUAGGGGUUGUCUAAGGAUAAGGAGCUUCUUUUUUGGAUGGUGAAAUAACCUAAAAUAUAUUGUGCCAUUGUUUGCACAACUUUGUGAAUAUAUUAAAAACCUGUUAAUUGUACUCACUAAAUGUCCUCCUUCUAAAUUAAGCUGUUCUUGACAAGAAAAGGAAAGAAACAAAGAAAAGAAGAGAAAAAAGGUCAAGGUUUGGUCCUGGGUGCUCAAAUGGCAGGCCACAGACAGGAAACACAGUUGUGAGGAAUUACAACAGCCUCCCGGCCAGAGCUGGAGAGGUGGAGCCCAGGUCCCCUCUAACACCCCUUCUCCUGGCCAGGUUGGAGUCCCGCCACAGGCCACCAGAGCGGAGCAGCGCAGCGCCCUGUCUCCCAGCCUGAGGUGCAGUGCUGCAUCUCUGGUCAGUUGGGAGUCUGAGAUGAAGCACUGUAGCUCAGGAAGAGAGAAGUUGUUCUGCAGCCAUCAGCCUGGAAGUGGUAAGUGCUGGGGGGUUGUGGGGGGCCAUAACAGGAAGGACAGAGUGUUUCCAGACUCCAUACUAUCAGCCACUUGUGAUGCUGGGGAAGUUCCUCUACACAAGUUCCCCUGGUGCCACGAUCUGCUUCACGAGUCUGGGCAUGUCCUGACUCCUCUGUGUACCCCAGUGUGUCCAUCUUAGCAUGAGGCGUUAGCAUUUCCCCAGCACCCUGCCUCUGCUUUCUCUUUCUGAGCCCAUGGCAGACACAGCUAAUCAGUAAAGGCAUAUAUUCUUUUUUUUUUGAGACACAGUCUCACUCCAUCACCCAGGCUGGAGUGCAGUGGCAUAAUCUCAGCUCACUGCAACCUCCUCCUCCCAGGGUCAAGCAAUUCUCGUGCCUCAGCCUCCCAAGUAGCUGAGAUUACAGGUGUGCGCCACCACACCUGGCUAAUUUUUGUAUUUUUAGUAGAGAUGGGGUUUCACUAUGUUGGCCAGGCUGGUCUCAAACUCCUGACUUCAGGUGAUCUGCCCGCCUCGGCCUCCCAAAGUGCUGGGAUUACAGGCAUGAGCCUCCACGCCCCGCCAGGCAUCCAUUCUUGAAGUGCUCAGAUGCAGCUUCAGAAUCCUCAACAAUGAGCCCUGGAAAGCCACUAGUACUGAUUCACAGCUGAAACUCAUUCAUCAUUUGUGGAUCAAACAAUUCCUAAAAACCCUUUCAGCCCUGAAGAUAAAAAUUCUGGCCUUUGAGUCAGGGUCUUCACUCUGUACUUCUAACCUUGGCUCCGGGGUAUUGCCGAAACCAGUCCAGGCACGUCACAAAUGUCUGACUUCUCCCAGAGGCUUCAGAAGCACAAUGAGCAGCAGAGGAGAGCCAUGGAGCCAAGCACAGUCUCAUUUAACCUCCCCAAAAGCUUGGGAAGUGGGUGGUGUUAUAGCCCCAUUUUACAGAUGAGAAAAACUGAGGCUUAUUUAAGCAGCUCACCUAAAGUCACAUAUUGAUUGUGCUGAGCUGAGAUUGUACCCUAAUCUGCCUUCAAAUCCAUGUUUUUACCCAUUGCAUGUGAUUAUGGAACCUGGGACCGAGGAGCAGGAGGAGAACAUUCUAAAUUCUGCUCCCAUCUUGUCUUUACAUCUCAGGUCACUUUUAGCAAAGACAGACCCGGACACUUGCCAUUAAUACUACAGGCUUCCUUCCUCCUACCCCCUUCCCCCAAUCUUAUUCAUCUCACCUCUCCAGUAGGUCGUGGACUCAUGCAUUUUAUAAUUAAAGAAGGCCAAGGCUCAGGGGUUAAGUGACUUACUGGAGGUUAUCAGAGAGGAAGUUGCCAAACCCAGGCUAGGAACUGAAUGGUUGGUUUAAAUCCACCCCUCUGGCAGGAGACUGGGGAAUACACAUGAGCCGUGCAGACAGCAGAGGGCAGUCCUGGGGGUGGGGGCGCCAGAGGGUUUCCGGUACUUUUCAGGGCAAUUGAAGUUCCGGUCACUACUCCCCCCCAGAGCAAUAAGCCACAUCCGGCGACGUGUGGCACCCCACCCUGGCUGCUACAGAUGGGGCUGGAUGCAGAAGAGAACUCCAGCUGGUCCUUAGGGACACGGCGGCCUUGGCGCUGAAGGCCACUCGCUCCCACCUUGUCCUCACGGUCCAGUUUUCCCAGGAAUCCCUUAGAUGCUAAGAUGGGGAUUCCUGGAAAUACUGUUCUUGAGGUCAUGGUUUCACAGCUGGAUUUGCCUCCUUCCCACCCCACAGUUGCCCCCCAAUGGGGCCUCGGCUGGCUCACAGGAUGAGGGUUCAAGAAGAAGGCUGUCCCUGGAGGUAAGAGGGCUUAUGAACCAUGUUCCAAACCUUUGCGUUGCUUUUCUUUCCAUCGUGUCUAUUUCAUAACAUCCCUGUGAGGCUGGAUGUGGGAACUUCAGCACUGCCGUACUCUUGGGAAAUUUGUCCAAGGCCACCCGGCUGAGCAGCGGUUGAACCAGGACACCAUCAGGCAUGCGUUUCUUGUCUCCACCACACCCUCAACCCACUUCCCAACGCGCCUUGCGACAGGGGCUGCGGUAUUGCAUCCACAUGACUGAUAAACUAGUAAACACACAUGAAUUCAUUUUAAAAGUGUAUUCAAUCAGUUAGGUAAACUAAAAACCUUAAGUCUUCGUUCGAUUUGGAAUGCAGCCAGAGAACAAAUGGAAAAUUUUUCAAGGUAGAGAAGAUGAAAACUCAGAACGCCCUCUUGUGGCAUCUCUACCCACCCUAGGAACACUAUGGCUCUUCCCCUACACAUGGUGAUUGCUAACCUUGCUACAAGACGUUGGACACACACACACACACACACACACACACACACACACUGAGGUUCCUUUUGCCCCCUCACUUUUGAGCCAGUGACUACUGAAACCCUCUCCAUUGUUGCACCACCAGCAAUGCCCCCAUCACUUCCUCUCAUUUACUUCCACAGGCUGGUUCAUCCUCAAAGCCCUCCUUACGUAGAUCUGUGGGAUCAGUGAGGCUCAGAGAGGUAAAGUGGCCAGCCCAAGGUCGCCCAGACAGCAAAAGGCAGGGCCAGCGCUGAUUUCAAGUCCAAUGGCCUAUGGCAAUUUCUUAGCCAAAAGCAAAAUCUACAAAAAUAAAAAGUCAGGCACAGUGGUGAGUGCCUACAGUCCCAGCUACUGAGGAGGCCGACGGGGGAGGACCACUUGAGCUUGGGAGUUCCUGGCUGCAGAGAGCUAUGAUUGUGCCUGUGAAUAGCCAAUGCACUCCAGCCUGAGCAAGAUAGGGAGACCCUGUCUCUAAAAAAUACCUAAAUAAUUUUAAAAGUCAGCCUCUCUGACUGCCUAUAGAGAAUGCUAACUAACUGAAUGACAGAAGACCUAAUGUAAUCCAGGUGCAAAAUCAGAACUUUCCGGCCGGGCGCGGUGGCUCACACCUGUAAUCCCAACACUUUGGGAGGCCCAGGCGGGUGGAUCACGAGGUCAGGAGUUCAAGACCGGCCUGCCCAACAUGGCAAAACCCCGUCUCUACUAAAAAUACAAAAAAUUAGCUGGGCAUGGUGGUGGCCACCUAUAAUCUCAGCUACUCAGGAGGCUGAGGCAGGAGAAUUGCUUGGACCCGGGAGGCAGAGGUUGCAGUGAGCUGAGAUCGCGCCACUGCACUCCAGCGUGGGGGACAAAAGCGAAACUCUGUCUCAAAAAAAAAAAAAUUAGAACUUUCCCCGUACUCUUGCUAGGGCUUUUCAUGGAGAUGUAGAAAUGGUAGUAAGUGCCAAGGCCCCAGAACCCUCAUGUUUGGGUCCGACUCCCACAUUGCCAGAGACUAGGCAGCUCACACAGGUGUCCCAAGCUGUCUUUCUCACAGGCCGCAUUGAAGGCAUUUAUGAAAUGAGACCCCCUCUUCCUCAUCCGUAGUGACAGGGCUGGCCUGACCGUGGAGAAAUCAGAUUUGAUCAUGAUAGCUUCCACUCCGUGACUGGUCACGAUCUGCCAGGCGCUGUGCUAAACACUUUCAUAGGCCUUGUCCCCCUCCAUCCUGAUAACACCCCAGUGAAGCAGGCCCUGCUCUUCACUCCACUCCACAAAGCCAAGGCUGAGAGAGGUUAACAGACUUACCUAAGGUCACACAGCUAAGAAGUCGUGAAGCUGGGAUCGAAUCAAGUCUGUGUUUAUGGGUUUAACUAUCAUGUUGUGGCCCCAACCCCAUUUGACCUAGCCUGGCUGGUGGGCCUUCUUGCAGUAGCUUCCCCUGGAGAAGAGGAAAAGCAAACCUUCAUUGAGACCCAAGCGGUCUCUCCUGUGCUCUGUGACAAUAAUAAAGUUCCAGCCCUUGGCUCCUGU
rnacentral:lncRNA from 1 species